UGGGGAAUAUUGCACAAUGGGCGAAAGCCUGAUGCAGCAACGCCGCGUGAGUGAUGAAGGCCUUCGGGUUGUAAAGCUCUGUCUUUUGGGACGAUAAUGACGGUACCAAAGGAGGAAGCCACGGCUAACUACGUGCCAGCAGCCGCGGUAAUACGUAGGUGGCAAGCGUUGUCCGGAUUUACUGGGCGUAAAGGAUGCGUAGGCGGAUUUUUAAGUGAGAUGUGAAAACCCUAGCUUAACUUGGGGACUGCAUUUCAUACUGGAAAUCUAGAGUGCGGGAGAGGAGAAUGGAAUUCCUAGUGUAGCGGUGAAAUGCGUAGAGAUUAGGAAGAACACCAGUGGCGAAGGCGAUUCUCUGGACCGUAACUGACGCUGAGGCAUGAAAGCGUGGGUAGCAAACAGGAUUAGAUACCCUGGUAGUCCACGCCGUAAACGAUGAGUACUAGGUGUAGGAGGUAUCGACCCCUUCUGUGCCGCAGUUAACACAAUAAGUACUCCGCCCUGGGAAGUACGAUCGCAAGAUUAAAACUCAAGGAAUUGACGGGGUCAUAGCUG
rnacentral:rRNA from 1 species